rnacentral:rRNA from 1 species
CCUACGGGAGGCAGCAGUGGGGGAUAUUGCACAAUGGGGGAAACCCUGAUGCAGCGACGCCGCGUGGGUGAAGAAGCGCCUCGGCGCGUAAAGCCCUGUCAGCAGGGAGGAAAAUGACGGUAUCUGAAGAAGAAGCCCCGGCUAACUACGUGCCAGCAGCCGCGGUAAUACGUAGGGGGCAAGCGUUAUCCGGAUUUACAGGGUGUAAAGGGGGCGCAGACGGCGAUGCAAGCCAGGAGUGAAAGCCCGGGGCCCAACCCCGGGACUGCUCUUGAAACUGCGUGGCUAGAGUGCAGGAGGGGCAGGCGGAAUGCCUGGUGUAGCGGUGAAAUGCGUAGAUAUCAGGAGGAACACCGGUGGCGAAGGCGGCCUGCUGGACUGCAACUGACGUUGAGGCCCGAAAGCGUGGGGAGCAAACAGGAUUAGAUACCCCUGUAGUC